UCUCAGCAUAUUUCUUUUCUCUUCUAUUUCUAGCCCCUCGUGUUUGGGUUUCUAAAUUCAAUAUGAUCUGUGAAAUAUCGGAAAGCUUUAGAGGAGAAAGGAACUGAGAAUACCUUUAAAAAGGGACAAUAAAAUCUGUGGGCCUAUGAGUCGCUUCCCAGGACUCUACCUAUAAUUAUAUUGACAGCGCAACAACUACCCCAAGGCUUCCUGCUGAUACCAGUACAGGAGUUUUACUGGAAAGAUCGUACACAGAUCAGUUCGGAAGUCGGGAAAGUUGGUUGCAGUUGGUUGUGUCGCAUAUACACCCAUGGCUGAUUUCAUUGUUGUUCAUCAGAAAGCAAAACGGAGCUUUCAAGUCGGGACUUUCUAUAUUGCCGCACCCAGAACCCCAGUAUUCACCCGACGGUUUGAACAUCACUCCACAUAGAGGCUUAGCGCCUUCGCAUGUUGUCGUUUGGCAGUUGUCGCCGUUGGGUUGGGCACAGUCUCUCUUGCAUGUCGUGGCGUAAGUGUGACGUGGGGAGGAGGAUGUACACCACCCGGAUGCCACGAUGAUGCCCGCCUUCACCUCUAAAUACAAAGCGCCGUGUUAUUAUCUAGUCAUCUCUCUACCUGUGAUUGGUUGUACGCUAAACUCCUAGCGAUGUAUGCCGUGUACUACUGGAAGUCUAUAUAAGCUCGAUGUGUCUCUAAUAUCGGUACGGGUCAGGAAUUAGUCUCUUGAUUUCUGACAUUCUUACUUUUCUGACUUCCAUGUGUCGAGGAUUACGAUGUGUAUUGGAUUAAAGGGCAGUAUUUUUUAAAGGUUACCUAGAAGUUCGGGAUUCGAGUCUAAUCUUAGCUUUAGGGAACCGCAGUAUACUCGCGCCGCACAGGCCAUCGCCUUUAUCUAAUCCACGUAAAACACCGAGACCGGAAGUGAGAAGAAAGGAAAAGAAGAAGAGGUCCGGGUCCUGCAAACACGAGAAAUACACACACGACGGAGAAGUAUACGUUACCUGUCUGACGCUAGAUGUUAGCAGAAGCGAUAAGGGAUAUCCAUCAACCUGGCGCUACAGGGCAUGAAGAUGAUGAUGAGACCGAAAGGUCAUGGCAAAUCAAGUGGGAUCAAAUGGGUAACCUGUUACGUCACGAGAUUAUCCGAAGAUGAUAAUGCACGUCGACGAGAUAGAGGAAUGACCCCUGACAAUAGGUGAAAGGUCACCCAGAGGUCAGUUUGAACAGCCUCACUUGGAAAGAGAAGACCAGAGCAAAAGCCUGAAGUUAAUCAGAUCGAGUAACAAGACUCUACUUUUGUUGGGAUUACAACUCUUGACAUUUGUGUGGGCGACGAGCGCCUUAUAUAGCCGUUGGCACCGCAAGUGCUGGCUCUUCGUACGCGCAGGUACGGGUCUGAGAACAAUAGGGAUUUAGAAUCUAACCAAUUAGAGACAUCUAAGGACACGUGGACUAAUCACACCGCUGCAUCACUACACGUGGACAAAUGAGAACAUCAGGUCAACUAAUACACUAGAACAAUAGG